rnacentral:rRNA from 1 species
GAGUUUGAUCCUGGCUCAGGAUGAACGCUGGCGGCGUGCUUAACACAUGCAAGUCGAACGGGAAACCUUUUCAUUGAAGCUUCGGCAGAUUUGGUCUGUUUCUAGUGGCGGACGGGUGAGUAACGCGUGGGUAACCUGCCUUAUACAGGGGGAUAACAGUCAGAAAUGACUGCUAAUACCGCAUAAGCGCACAGGACCGCAUGGUCCGGUGUGAAAAACUCCGGUGGUAUAAGAUGGACCCGCGUUGGAUUAGCUAGUUGGCGAGGUAACGGCCCACCAAGGCGACGAUCCAUAGCCGGCCUGAGAGGGUGAACGGCCACAUUGGGACUGAGACACGGCCCAGACUCCUACGGGAGGCAGCAGUGGGGAAUAUUGCACAAUGGGGGAAACCCUGAUGCAGCGACGCCGCGUGAAGGAAGAAGUAUCUCGGUAUGUAAACUUCUAUCAGCAGGGAAGAAAAUGACGGUACCUGACUAAGAAGCCCCGGCUAACUACGUGCCAGCCGCCGCGGUAAUUC